CCUACGGGAGGCUGCAGUGGGGAAUAUUGCGCAAUGGGCGAAAGCCUGACGCAGCGACGCCGCGUGAGGGAUGAAGGUCUUCGGAUCGUAAACCUCUGUCAGCAGGGAAGAACGGUCACUGUGCUAAUCAGCAGUGAAUUGACGGUACCUGCAAAGGAAGCACCGGCUAACUCCGUGCCAGCAGCCGCGGUAAGACGGAGGGUGCGAGCGUUAAUCGGAUUUACUGGGCGUAAAGCGCUCGUAGGCGGUAUGUCAAGUCAAGGGUGAAAUCCCCGCGCUCAACGUGGGAACUGCCUUUGAAACUGGCAGACUGGAGUGUGUGAGAGGAUAGUGGAAUUCCAGGUGUAGGAGUGAAAUCCGUAGAUAUCUGGAGGAACAGCAGUAGCGAAGGCGACUAUCUGGCACAUAACUGACGCUGAGGAGCGAAAGCGUGGGUAGCAAACAGGAUUAGAUACCCCAGUAGUC
rnacentral:rRNA from 1 species